rnacentral:rRNA from 1 species
CACGAACCCGACGAACGUUAUUCGGAAUUAUUGGGCUUAAAGGGUGCGUAGGCGGUGCGGUAAGUGAGGUGUGAAAGCCCUCGGCUCAACCGAGGAAUUGCGCUUCAUACUGCCGUGCUGGAGGGAGACAGGGGUAAGCGGAACUGAUGGUGGAGCGGUGAAAUGCGUUGAUAUCAUCAGGAACACCGGUGGCGAAAGCGGCUUACUGGGUCUCUUCUGACGCUGAGGCACGAAAGCUAGGGUAGCGAAC